rnacentral:rRNA from 5 species
CUGCGGAAGGAUCAUUC